rnacentral:tRNA from 1 species
UCGGCAGUAGUUCAGUUGGCGUAGAAUAACUUACAAGUAAGUGACGGUGGUUCGAGUCCACCCUGCCGAG